rnacentral:tRNA from 1 species
UCGGGGAUGGUCUAAUGGUAGGACGCGGGCCUUUGACGCCUUGAAGUGCGGGUUCGACCCCUGCUCCCCGAUCCA